rnacentral:rRNA from 1 species
GAGAUCGGGGGGGCAACUCUCCGGUUGAGUGGCGGACGGGUGAGUAACACGUGGGUAACCUGCCCGGAAGUGUGGAAUACCUCGGGGAAACUCGAGCUAAUACCGCAUGACAUCUUUGGGACGAGAGUCCUGACGAUCAAAGCGGGGUCGCAAGACCUCGCGCUACCGGAUGGGCCCGCGCCCGAUUAGCUAGUUGGCGAGGUAACGGCUCACCAAGGCAACGAUCGGUAGCCGGCCUGAGAGGGUGAUCGGCCACACCGGAACUGAGACACGGUCCGGACUCCUACGGGAGGCAGCAGUGGGGAAUCUUGCGCAAUGGGCGAAAGCCUGACGCAGCAACGCCGCGUGGAGGAUGAAGGCCCUUGGGUUGUAAACUCCUGUCGGCUGGGAAGAAAUCGUUCGGGGCUAAUACCUCCGGACGUUGACUGUACCAGCAAAGGAAGCCCCGGCUAACUCUGUGCCAGCAGCCGCGGUAAUACAGAGGGGGCCAGCGUUAUUCGGAAUUAUUGGGCGUAAAGGGCGCGUAGGCGGCCACGCGUGUCUUUCGUGAAAUCCCUCGGCUUAACUGAGGACGUGCGGAAGAAACUGCGAGGCUCGAGUCCGGGAGAGGGGGGUGGAAUUCCCAGUGUA